GCGAUCAGACGGCUGAGCGAGGUUUGAUCAUGGCUCAGAUUGAACGCUGGCGGGAUGCUUUACACAUGCAAGAGUCGAACGGCAGCACGGACUUCGGAUCUGAGUGGCGAAGAGUGAACAGGGUGAGUAAUGUAUCAGGUGUUUGGUGACAGGAUCUUCACGCGAAAGCGUGUGAACACCUCACGCGCUGGGGAAGCAGGGGACGUUGCGGACUCACUAUUAGAGCGGCCGAUAUCCGGAUUAGCUGGUUGGUGGGGUAACGGCUGUACCGAAGGCGAUAUCGCCGGCGGUUUGAAGGACGACCAGCCACCGCUCGGACUGACUUUGGCCCAGACUCCGCAGGAGCAGCGGUGGGAUUCCCGGACAAUGAAACCUGAUCCAGCAUACCCGCUGACGUGUGCGAUGAGGCCUUCAGGUUGUAAAGCACUUUUGGCAGGAAAACGGCGCGGGAUAAUACCCGUGCAGCUGACCAGGCUACCUGGGAAGAUAAGCACCGGCUAACUACGUGCCAGCCGCGGUAAUACGUAGGGUGCAGACGUUAAUCAGGACCCUGGGCGUAAAGCGUGCGCAGGCGGUUCGGAAAGAAAGAUGUGAAAUCCCAGAGCUUAACUUUGGAACUGCAUUUUUAACUACCGAGCUAGAGUGUGUCGGAAGUGGAAUUCCGCGUGCUUGGCAGUGAAAUGCGUAGAUAUGCGGAGACGAUGGCGAAGGCGACCUCCUGGGAUAACGCACUGACGCUCAUGCAGCGAUGAAGGAGCAAACAGGAUUAGAUACCUGGUAGUCCACGCCCUAAACAGGUGUCAACUAGCUGUUGGGGCCUUCGGGCCUUGGUAGCGCAGCUAACGCGUGAAGUUGACCGCCUGGGGAAAUUGCGGUCGCAAGAUUAAAACUCAAAGGAAUUGACGGGGACCCGCACAAGCGCGGUGGAUGAUGUGGAUUAAUUCGAUGCAACAUGACCUACCUUACCUACCCUUGACAUGUCUGGAAUCCCGAGAUUUGGGAGUGCUCGCAAGAGAACCGGAACAGGUACUGCAUGGCUGUCGCCAGCUCGUGUCGUGAGAUGUUGGGUUAAGUCACGCAAGCAGGCGCAGCCCUUGUCAUUAGUUGCUACGAAGGGCACUCUAAUGAGACUGCCGGUGACAAACCGGAGGAAGGUGGGGAUGACGUCAGUCCUCAUGGCCCUUAUGGGUAGGGCUUCACACGUCAUACAAUGGUCGGGACAGAGGGUCAACCAACCCGCGAAGGGGAGCCAAUCCCGAAACCCGAUCGUAGUCCGGAUCGCAGUCUACAACUCGACUGCGUGAAGUCGGAGAUCGCUGGUAAUCGCGGAUCGGCAUGUCGCGGUGAAUGGUUCGCCGGGUCUUGUACCGCCGUCACACCAUGGGAGUGGGUUUUACCAGAAGUAGUUAGCCUAACCGUAAGAGGGCGAUUACCGCUGCGGUAGGUUUCAUGACUGAGAUGGAGUUCAACCUGAAUGG
rnacentral:rRNA from 1 species